GUUCUUUCCGCAGCUCAAGAUCCAAGGACGCAAGGACGUCUUCUUCGCGCAGAGCAAGCUGCUAGCAAGCACCAAGACCUUCGCUUCACUCAUCGCUGCCAAGUCCAUCCCAAGCUGCUCCACUGCCUCGCAAGACUAUCCGUUUCCUUCAUCUGCUCCAGCCGCCAGCACCAUCAAACCCUUUCUAACUUCCACAGGUAUCAUCUCCCCUUCCUCCAAUUCUACAUAUUUUUAGGUUAUUUUUAACUGGAUUUAUUUUUCUUUAAAGUUCAAGCAAGUGGCUAUGCACCCUGUAGUUUUUAAGGUCUGCAAAAAAGCACGCUUCAGAUACAGUUGGCCAGGGAUAUAUAGCUGUUCUUUGUCAUCAGUUGCAGAUAUUUGUUUCUGCUUUGGAAUUUCUUGGCUGAUUGCUGUGAAGGACAACCUAAUCUAACACACUCGUACAAAAGAGGAUGUGUUAUCUGUACUCUACAUGACAAAACUAACCAUUUGCAUUUUUAGCUUCUUGCUCUCUCUCCCACUCCCUCCCUCUCCCUUUGCUUCAUAGAUAGUAUAUGUACUAAUAAAUGAUCGGAACUGCAUAUUUUUUUUAAAGAACAUCAGAAUGGGAAUAUGGGAUGCAUUCCUUGAUGGAGGACAGGUAGAAGUGUCCAGGUAGAAGUGUCCAACCAUUACGAAUUUCUAAAUCGAAGAAGAAUUCAGCAUGGAAAGAUAGGAUGAUUAAUGUCGUCGAAGUGUUGGCUGUUACCUGGGCUUGCCUAUGAUCUUGGUGUUUCUCCCUUCCAUUUUAUGUAGUAGGUGCUCAGAUAUUAUAUGUAGGUAUAUUGUUUAUUCUUGGCAUCCCCAUCUUCUUUGAGGUAUCUAGAUGGAUAUCAUACCAAUAGUUGUCAAAGGGUCAUCUUUCAUGGAGAUAUGGUUUGGUGCACCUAUGUUUAGGUUUCUACAUGUUGCAUUUAUGACAGAAUGUCAAUAUAACUUUUCAAGCUAAGAAUAAUUCUAUGUUAUUUAUUUUAUGCCCUACAUUUACUUAAUUAAGAACCAUUUCAUCCAAUUAAGGUUUGGAUUGUGGAUGCAAUCAUCUUGAUACUCAUGCAACCAAUGCAUGUUAGUUGAUUUAUUUCACCUGUUUGUAUGAAUCAGUUUCUUUUAUCGCGCAGGAUUUAAUUGUCCAUGCAUUCUUAAUUUGGCACAAGCAUUGACACAUGAUAACUUGGUUUGCCUGAUUUUUAUGAUUGGCAACACUCUAAUCAUGGAAACCAAUUCAAUAUACACUAGCUUUCAUGCAGGUAACUAGCUAUUAAUGCAUGUGUUCUACAAUUUGGUCUUGGGUUCUAAAUUGUGAGAAUUAUUAAGAACCACUCGGUUAUCUCUUCAGGGCCAGUAACACUUCUAGACUCACUAGAAAUAGAUAUAUUAUCUCUUCACGGCACUACUGUGUUCUUUUCUAAUUGAGCAUCUAAAAUAGAAGAAAUUAUGCCUAUGUACCUUUUCUAUAUACAGUGAAAUAGGUUUUGAUAGCAAAAAUAUGCUUGCAGUACUACAUAAAUAGCGAUAUUGCAGAAAUGGUGCAUUUCAUAUGGCAAAUUACAUACCAUUUUAAUAGUGAUUUUAGUUUAUCCGUUUGAAAAGCUCUUGGAUAUCUGAUUCAGUCACCUGAUAAGCUUGCCGCCUUGCAUUCGCUGUUGAUGAAUUGGUUCUUUUCUUGUGUGCUUUCCCUCAUCAGUCACAAUUCUUGGUGUAGUUUCUAGGAACUUUUCAGAAAAAACAGUGAUAUCCAAUGUGUUUUAUAACACGCUACGAUGUACAUGCAUCUUCCAUUUUGUGUUUUGUGAUUCUUAGGACUGUCCUGAGGUAGAUCAUUGAACCGACUAGAUUCUUUUAUGUUUUUGAAAUGCACUUACCUGGCAAUUUGUGUUUACUGCAGGGUAUAUUACUCUCUUUCUCUUUCAUCAUUUCCUAUGGAGAGGUAUGGUGAAAUAAUGAGGUAUGUCUGCUUCACCUUGCCUUUGCUGGUAUUGCCCAUUUUUCUGAUUCCUGGUUAACAUCAAGGCUCUUCUCAUCAAGCAAAAUGAUUCCCUAACCCUGUUCAGUUUCCACAAGCAAAAUUGUUUAUAGUGUCUUCAAGAAUAGAAGAAACUAGCAAAAUGAUUCCCUAACCCUUUCCAAUUUCUAUUAGCAAAAUUGUUUGCAGUGCCUUUAAGAUGCGAAGAAACAGUUUUGAGCAUGUUGCUACAUCAAUAGCACAAUCAUCACCUACCAAUGCCUCAUAUGAAGUCAUCGUGGCUCACAAAUUUGCAUCUCGUCAAUGAGGGUUAGGAUCAGGGCUGUCAACUACUCCAAGUGAUAUGUACAUUAGAUGGUCAGCUUUUUUUUUUUUUUACUUCUCAGCAGAGCAGGUGAUAGAUUCAAUUACUAUGGGAGAUAUUUAGAAACAACGUGUAGUUGAACUGGCAUAAUAUUUGUGGCUUUGUAGCAUCUGACUUUUCUGUUAAUGAAUUAUUUCAAUAGUUUUUUAUUGAAUAUUAUCUACCCUUAUGGGAAAAGAUUUGUA